UUGCCUCAGAGCACCACAGUGAGCAGACUUGGGAACUACCUCCGUGCUCGGUAGUGCUUUGAGCACUAGACCUCUCUGGGGCUGCAGAGGAAGAGGGGCUCCUCUGUCUGAGUGUCUCAGCCUCCAGAGGAGAUGGCUAUCCUUAUCCAGGAUCUUGAAACCACAGUUGGAAGAUGGUGGCGCUUCUGCCGAACUCCAGCACCGUGACGUGGGAUGCAAGUGUGUGAACUGCCAGGCUCAAUGCUUGCUCCUACCUGACCAUUUUUAAAGGGAUGUGUGUUUAUUAUGAACAGUCCUACAGAUAAUGAAAUCUUUAUUUUUUUCUGGACAACUGCUGAGGCUGAAAAAUGUGACUUCUGCUUUUUACCCUUUAUACCACAGCAUUCAUCAACAUAGAGCAUUUUCUCAAACACUGUAUACUAACUAUUGCAAGAGUUUUAAUCCAAGAUUUUAGAUGUAGGACUGAGUGCUGAAGAUAAAAAAUGUUUUCUGUUUGCUUUCCAUCUCUUAGUAGUGCUUUACUCUGAAUCCGUGUUUUCAGUAAGCCUUAAAUUGCCAGUUUGAGUUUGUACUGUUACUUUAUGCUCUUGUUAACAGCAAAUAAGAUUGCGUAUUUCCCUGCAGCCAUUAUGUUUGAACUAGUCCUCAAGUGUCUCAUUAAAUAUAUUUUUACACUUAGUUACAGUAAGGUUUACUUUGUUACACAGUUUGGAGAGCCCUGACAGUUGCACUAAACUGUGUAACUCAGUCACGCUUACAGAACAGUUCAGUCACCAUAACACAUUCUCUUGUAUCAUGCUUUCCUGACAAACCUGCCCCAACCUUGGACAACUCUUUGAUUCCUUCAAGCCUGCGAUGUUCUUAUCUCUAGAAUGGCUUGCAGAUACAGUAAUAGUAUGUAGCCUUUUGACUCUGCAUCUUCCAGGAAGCAAAAUCCUUAGUGAUUCAUCCAUGUUUUCUAUUUGUCAUUGAUUUGUUCCUUGUUAUUGCUGAGUAGUUUCUCACUAUGUGAGUGUACCCGUGUAUAUAUCACCCAUUAAUAGAUGAGUAAAUGCUUUUUUGCACUGCUACUAGAUCUUGGCAAAUAUAAUAGAGCUGGUACAAACAUUCAUAUACGGACAUCUAUGUGAAUCUAGGUUUGCCUUUCUCUUG